GCAUGGCCGAAUUCUGAUUUACCGUUGAUGUGGUAAACUCGGUCAGACACCAUGCGAAAGAAAUUUCUCACAUUGACUUUACAGUGAGUGAGCAGUGUUGUAGCUCAUUUCGCUGUCUGGUGAGGACAGAUAA